AUUGAACGCUGGCGGCAGGCCUAACACAUGCAAGUCGAACGAGUGGCGGACGGGUGAGUAAUGUCUGGGAAACUGCCUGAUGGAGGGGGAUAACUACUGGAAACGGUAGCUAAUACCGCAUACCAUCAGAUGUGCCCAGAUGGGAUUAGCUUGUUGGUGGGGUAACGGCUCACCAAGGCGACGAUCCCUAGCUGGUCUGAGGGGAUGACCAGGCACACUGUAACUGAGACACGUUCCAGACUCUGACGGGAGGCAGGAGGGGGGAAUAUGGCACAAUGGGCGAAAGCCUGAGGCAGCCAUGCGGGGUGGAUGAAGAAGGCAUGCGGGUUGUAAAGUACUUUCAGCGGGGAGGCGUGACCGGCAGAAGAAGCACCGGCGAAGUCCGUGCCAGCAGCCGCGGUAAUC
rnacentral:rRNA from 1 species